rnacentral:lncRNA from 1 species
UAGAGUUGCAUCAAUGGAAGAUUACGAUGAGGACCUGGUGCAGGAAGCUUCAUCUGAAGAUGUCCUGGGCGUUCAUAUGGUGGACAAAGACACAGAGAGAGACAUUGAGAUGAAACGGCAACUACGGCGACUACGGGAGCUCCACCUAUACAGCACAUGGAAGAAGUACCAAGAGGCGAUGAAGACAUCCUUGGGAGUUCCACAAUGUGAGCGUGACGAAGGCUCCUUGGGCAAGCCAUUGUGUCCACCCGAGAUACUCUCGGAGACGUUGCCAGGCUCUGUGAAGAAAAGGGUAUGCUUUCCAUCAGAAGAUCAUCUAGAGGAGUUUAUAGCAGAACAUCUCCCUGAAGCAUCCAAUCAGAGUCUCCUCACUGUUGCCCAUGCAGACACAGGCAUCCAAACCAACGGUGACCUGGAAGACCUGGAGGAGCAUGGGCCAGGGCAGACAGUCUCUGAGGAAGCCACAGAAGUUCACAUGAUGGAGGGGGACCCAGACACACUGGCCGAACUUCUGAUCAGGGAUGUACUUCAGGAGCUGUCCAGUUACAACGGCGAGGAGGAGGACCCAGAGGAGGUGAAGACAUCCUUGGGAGUUCCACAACGUGGUGACCUGGAAGACCUGGAGGAGCAUGUGCCAGGGCAGACAGUCUCUGAGGAAGCCACAGGGGUUCACAUGAUGCAGGUGGACCCAGCCACACUGGCAAAGCAAUUGGAAGACUCCACCAUUACAGGCAGCCACCAGCAGAUGUCAGCAAGUCCUUCCUCUGCACCUGCAGAAGAAGCAACAGAAAAGACCAAAGUGGAAGAGGAAGUGAAAACCAGAAAGCCCAAGAAGAAAACCAGGAAGCCCAGCAAGAAAAGCCGGUGGAAUGUCCUGAAAUGUUGGGACAUUUUUAAUAUAUUUUAGAGACCUCUGAAGAUUCCUCGACCACCAGGAAGGGCCCCGACGUGGGGAUGUCAACAUGGCUCAGACUUGAUGUGGAUCGUGAUCAUUUCGGGAAAUGUGUUACUCCAAAAACUUUUAUAAUCUUUGCUUAAUUUGUUUUUAAAUACUUUCCUGGCUGGGCGUGGUGGCUUAUGCCUGUAAUCCCAGCACUUUGGGAGGCCGAGGCGGGUGGAUCACCUGAGGUCAGGAGUUAAAGACCAGCCUGGCCAACAAGGUGAAACCCCGUCUCUACUAAAAAUACAAAAAUUAGCUAGGCGUGGUGGCGCACUCUUGUAGUCCCAGCUAUUUGGGAGGCUGAGGCAGGAGAAUCACUUGACCUCAGGAGGCGGAGGUUGCAGUGAGCCGAGAUCAUGCCACUGCACCCCAGCACCUGGCUACAGAGUGAGACUUUGUCUCAAAAAAAAAAAAAAAAGAACAAAAAAAUUCUGACUUUAACCUCUGUUUUUCAGAGGGCACAAAUUGUUCUUGUAUUGUUUCCAUUUUACAUUUUUUUCUUGAAGUUAUUUUCCAAUUGUUUUCAUUCUUUCUGAAGUUUUGUUUACUCGGUUUUAAGUUUUUGUAAUUUUGAUAGACUUUUGUGCUUUCAUUUUCUUAAUGACUUUUACCUCAUUUUUAAAACAAAUCCAUAGUAUGGAUGAUAUUGAUGAUGAAAUGUCUUACGAUGAUCAUUUAGAGGUUUAUUUUGAACAACUGGCAAUUCCAGGAAUGAUGGAAUAAAGCAUACGAAGUAGAAGGACUGGAACCUCCAGAAAAAGUACUUUAAGUUACCUACAGGUGAUCCUAGUCAGGCAAAUGAAAACAGUAGCCUAAAGUGUCAGUUUCAACCAGAAAAUAACAGCUCUGAUUUCUCAUGGCUCAUACUCGUCUGAAACGACUCAGGUAGAGGCUGAGGAAGGCCGUGUUGUUUGUCUACCUGGGACUACACCUACUGAAAGAAGUUCUCAAGUUCUGAUUGAGUUCUAAAAUUUUUUGAAGAUUGGAAUUCUUCAUAUGUAAAAAGAGAAGAGAAAGACAUUCUUGAUUUUGGUGACUAGAGUUGUAGAUGCUGGAAGCUUUGCCACUAACAUUGAUGAACCAGAUGCAUGUCACCAGCCCAUCACGGUGAUUCUUAAUGCCGGCACCAUGGGCCCGGCACUGCCACGUUUUCCAAGGAACCUGCCGGAGCUCCUGCGGAAGCUGCUCCUCAGGCGAUGGAGUCCCUUCGCUGGUAGGCCCUUCUUCAGUCACCACAGGAUGCCUGCCAUUCAUGAACAAGAAGGAGAGGACGGGCUUUGAAUAAAAAACAGGAUCCAGGAAAUAUUUGUGAGGCCAUUUGGACUUCAGUGUGAAAUGGUGUUAAAAGAUGAAGUCAUUUAUUCAAGAAGUAAACCUCUGCCACCUGGACUGUGCGCAGACAUUUCAUUGAUUUUGUUUAAUAAACAUUUUCUGGCUUUGGGAGGUGUCUCUCUUGGUAGAACACAGUGUCAAAGAUGGACAAGAUGGACACAUAGUCCAUUAUUUGGUAUUGUUUGUGUAUGGGAGCAGACCACAAAUUAAUGUUUGGAGAACAAUUUUGUCAUAACACACUGUUGAGGCUCAGUUGUACAGAACUGGAAAAGUCUUCAGCUUGGCACAUGUCCUGAUUCAGCCUUUGUUUAACAUAUAUUCCAAUCCGGAUUCUAUCUUCACUGGCUACAAAGACCACCUGAUACGUGCACCACGACACAGGAGCUGCUGGAGAGGGGGUAGUGUUAUCACCUCAAACCCACAGCCAUAUUUUUCAAAAGCCAGCUUAGAGAGAGGUGUACUGAUAGCUGCAUAGAGAACAUGCAGUCCAUCCAUUCUUCCCAGUGAUGUACAUUUCUCAAUCAGUAACCACGUGGUAUACCAGCCUUGAGUGUCACAUCUCCCAACCAUACCAAAUGGAUCACCUAACUGGAGGUGGGGGGGGCCCUCAGAAAUGAGAUUUCGUAUUUACUGUAAAAUUGCCUUAUUUUUUCUUUUGAGGUGGAGUCUCACUCUGUUGCCUGGGCUGGAGUGCAAUGGUGUGAUCACUGCUCACUGCAACCUCCGCCUCCUGGGUUCAAGCAGUUCUCCUGCCUCAGCCUCCCAAGUAGCUGCAAUUACAGGUGCAUGCCACCACUCCCAGCAAAUUUUUAUAUUUUUAGUGGAGACAGGGUUUCACCAUGUUGACCAGGCUGGUCUCAAACUCCUGACCUCAGGUGAUCUGCCCACCUUGGCCUCCCAAAGUUCUGGGAUUAAAGGUACGAGCCACCGCAACUGGCUGAGAAUCUUUUUAUUUGCUGAUUUGUCUCUUGUGUAUUUUCUUUGUUCAGAUGUCUCUUCAGAUCUUUUUCUCACUUUUAAAUUGUUUUUUAAUUGUUAAGAAUUUUCUGUCUAGUUUAGAUAUAAGCCCUUUAUCAGACAUGUGUUUUGCAAAUAUUUUCUCCUAGUCUGUGGCUUGUAUUCUGUCUCUUAACACUCAUUUUAUUUUUACUUUUGGAACUAAAGAAGAAGAAUGGUCAGCUUUCCAUUAUUCUUGUAACAGUAAUGGCAGAACCAAGUCUGCUAAUGCUACACUGAGCAAAGAAAGUCACCUGGUGAAGUCCAACAUUAAUGAAAUGGGGUAGUACAUGCAGGCAGCGUUGGGGGUGGGGAGGGAACAAAUGCUUCUUGAGAGUAAUAUAAUCUGCCAUACCAUCCAGGAACCUACAAUGGCUAUCUAUUACCUUAUUCUCUGGUUUGUUUAAUGUUCGAAUCUUUCCGAAAGAUCCUUCAACCUUUCUGGAAGAAUCUAAUCUGAUAACACCAUCAAAAACACAUUACUUCUUUUGGCAUAAUUUAAAUUGUAAGACAUCAUUCACAUUUAUCAAUGUUACAUAUAUAAGAACUCACCCACCAUAUUCUUCCUUGAGGAAUUACAGCAUGUAAUUCUAUAAUCAUUUUUAUAAUCGUCUAACAAUUUUAUAAUGGAUUGGUUGCUUACUAUCAAUUUUUUAAAAGUCAUGGCUUCUCCAGUCAUUUCUUGCUUAUCGAAAUUAUUUCAUGAGAUGGGUCUCUCCUUGUAUAUUUGAAAAUGAGGUUUGCUUCCUUCUACUUAAAAAACAACUUGAACAUACCUGUUUGGAUCACAUGGUCUUGUCCUGAUAACUUGGAAGAGGUUGCUUCAGCAUUGUUCUUAUUGUUGUGGUGGUUAUUAUUAAUAUUGUUUCAUAUUCUGUUUAAAAAAUUAAAAUUUUACACAAGACCAAUGUCUUCUUUUCAAUUCCAGUACAUUUUUCAGAAGUAACUAAUGCUAUUGGCUUUGUGCAUUGUAAUUUCAGACCAUUUUAUAUGUCUUUAGUUAUAUGUACAGUAUACACACAUAUGUGUCAUAUUAUUCCAUUUUUUCUAGCAUUAAACAUUGCUAUGGAAAACUCUCGGAAAAAUAUUUAUUUGAACAGAACUUUUUCUUUUCUCAGAUGUACCCUCCUUAGGAAUCUUUCUUUGAUCCUUGAAGUUUGGUAACAACUUUAAAUAUGUGUAUCCCAGCUGGGAGCAGCGGCUCACACCUGUAAUUUCAGCACUUUGGGAGGCCGAGGAGGGUGGAUCACCUGAGGUCAGGAGUUUGCCUGGCCAACAUGGUGAAACCCCGUCUUUACUGAAAAUACAAAAAGUUAGCCAGGUGUGGUGGCUGGCACCUGUAAUCCCAGCUACAUGGGAGGCUGAGGCAGGAGAAUCGCUUGAACCUAUAGAGACAAGGUUUCACCAUGUUGACCAGGCUGGUCUCGAACUCCUGACCUCAGGUGAUCCACCCACCUCAGCCUCCCAAAAUGCUGGGAUUACAGGCAUGAGCCAUUGCACCCAGCCAUACAGGAGCAAGUUUAAAAAUUAAAUAUUUAUUUGAAUAACAAGCUUACAUUGGAGCUGCAAUGUUGGCAAUCCAGAUUUUGAACACGGAUCACAAAAAGCAUGCAUAAAAUCCUACUGGCCCAGAGAACAAAACACUGCUCAGAAUUAAGCGAAAUAGCUGCUACUGUUAAGAAAACAGGCCUGAAAUCAAUAUACAAGAUUUUAAAAAAUGUAUUGGCCGGAUGCAGUGGCUCAUUCCUGUAAUUCCAGAACUUUGGGAGGCCAAGACAGGAGAAUCACCUGAGGUCAGGAGUUCAAGACCAGCCUGGCCAACAUGGUGAAACUCCAUCUCUACUAAAAAUAAAAAAUUAGCUGGGUGUGGUGACACAUGCCUGUAGUCCCAGCUACCUGGGAGGCUGAGGCAGAAUAAUUUCUCGAACCCAGGAGGAGGAGGUUUGCAAUGGCAUGAUCUCUGCUCACCGCAACCUCCGCCUCCCGGGUUCAAGCAAUUCUCCUACUUCAGCCUCCCGAGUAGCUGGGAUUACAGGCAUGUGCCACCAUGCCUGGCUACUUUUCUGUAUUUUUAGUAGAGACAGAGUUUCUCCAUGUUGGUCAGGCUGGUCUUGAACUCACAACCUCCGGUGAUCUGCCUGCCUCGGCCUCCCAUAGUGCUGGGAUUACAGGCAUGAGCCACCAUGCCUGCCCAUGAAAGCACUUUUAAAAAGAGAGCACCUCUGCUGCCUGGUCAUAUUCUGUACCUGUUCCCAAACCCUGAAACCAGUGAUGUCAAUGGCUGCGUGGGCAUUGAACGUGUACAUGAUUCCUGCAGCUUUCCUGUUGACCUGGACCAUGUUCAUCAAUGCUUUUUGGUACAUUAAUUCUACAUCUUCUUCGGUGACCACAGUUUAUGUUUAUUUCAUUUUUCAGGAAUAUCCAGCCACUGGUGCACAGCCAUUGCCACUUGUGCCCCCAGGGGAUCUUGUCAACUCCAGUAUGUCCCCCCAGCACUGUGUUAUCUGGCAUAAUAAAUGUAGUUGGGCUGUAGUUGUAGUGACUCCUCCCAAAACAACCCAGGAGUUUAAUACUGUUUGGCCACCGGUUACAGACAUUGCUGCCCCUUCCGCUGCGGCUUUAAAAGCCUAUCUAAUCGGCUGGGUGUGAUGGUGGCUCAGACCUAUAAUCCCAGCACUUUGGGAGUCCAAGGUGGGUGGAUCACCUGAGGUCAGGAGUUUGAGACCGGCCUGGCCAACAUGGUGAAACCCCAUCUCUACUAAAAAUACAGCAAAUUAGCUGGGCGUGGUGGCGCAUGACUGUAAUCCCAGCUACUCGGGAGGCUGAGGUAGGAGAAUUGCUUGGGUGGCAGAGUAAGACUCCGUCCCAAAAAAAAAAGUUAUCUAAUCAGGGACGUCACCUUUCCCUGCCAGUCAUUUUGUUACCAAUGAAAGAAAACAUAUUCAAAUCAAUUUUUAGUUCAGAAAAUGUUUCUUUCAUUGUAUCUUUGAAUUUUAUUGUUCUGCAUUUUUUACUUCAAAAACACCUACUAUAUGCAUUUUUUCUCUCGUUUCCUUUUUUUUCCAAGAAAUGUUUUUGUCCUUUUGAUUUUUUCACUGACCAUUACCAUUAUUUAUAUACCAUGUACCUGGAGAGUUUCCAAUGUUUCUCUUUGGUCUGAGAUACUUGCUAUGAUUUUCACUUUUUAAAUGCUCUUUUGAGAUUUGUUUUGUGGCCUAAAAUGUGGUCUAUCCUGGAGAAUGUUCUGUGAGCUGAUGAGAAGAAUGCACGUUCUGCAGUUGGUGGGUGAAAUGUUCUGUAAUUACCUGUGAGGUCCCUUUGACUUCUCUUGGAGUCAGUCUGGUCUGUUACUUUUCUGCCUAGAGGGUGUGUCUGUUGCUGAAAGUGGGUGUUGGAGUCCCCAGCUAUUAUUGUCUGUCUCUGUCUGUUGCUCGAAUAACUCUUACUUUAAUAACUGGGGCUCCUGUGUCAGGUGUGUUUACAUUGACAACUGUCCUACCUUCUUGCUGAAUUGAUCUCUUUAUCGUUUUAUAAUGACCUUUAUUUUCUAUUUUUGUGCUUUUUUGACUUAAAGCCUACUUUGUGUGACAAGCAUAGCUAUACAUACUCACUUUUGGUAACACUUUUCAUUUCUUAUCAUCUUCAUUGAAUCUCACUUCUUCACAUUUACCAAAAUGUCUACUUUUGAGCUGUGGCACCUCUUUGAAUCUUCAGAUCCACCACAUGCUGAUCAAGCCUUCCUUUUUGUCUGUACUCUGAGGAAUCCCAAACAGGCAUUUUUGCAAGAAAGUCUAGGAGGGAAACAUAAAUCUAUGUGUCAAAAAAAUGAACAUAGAAAAUAAUGUGUCCUGGUUAACAAAAGUUCUCAUUGUAAAGUGUUAGGCACAAGACUAUGGAAUUUCAUGUGCCAUAAAUAAAAUUGUCUUGAUUUGUCUAAAACUACAUUUUGUCUAAAACUACUUUUAAAAAUUACAUGUUACUCUAAUA